rnacentral:tRNA from 1 species
GGUUAUGGCUCAGUGGUAGAGCACUUGCCUAGCACAUGUGAGGCACUGGGUUCGAUCCCCAGCACCA